GUGUCAGCCGCCGCGGUAAUACGGAAGGGGCGAGCGUUGUUCGGAAUCAUUGGGCGUAAAGGGCGCGCAGGUUGUUUUGUAUGUCUACUGUGAAAGUGUACGGCUCAACCGUAUUUUGUCGGUAGAAACUGCAGAACUUGAGGCUGGGAGGGGCUGGUGGAAUUCCCUGUGUAGCGGUGAAAUGCGUAGAGAUGGGGGAGAACACUCGUGGCGAAGGCGGCCAGCUAGACCAGUUCUGACACUGAGGCGCGACAGCGUGGGGAGCAAACAGGAUUAGAAACCCCCGUAGUCC
rnacentral:rRNA from 1 species